GGCCUUGUGGCGCAACGGUAGCGUGUCAGACUCCAGAUCAGAAGGUUGUGUGUUCAAAACACAUUAAGGUCA
rnacentral:tRNA from 1 species